UCACACAAACCCUAGACUGUUGAGGAGCACCAAGGGAGAUGAGCUGGACAGUUUAAAAAAAAAAAAAGCCCUGAUUUUGACACACAGAGAGGCCACAUUUCAAAUCUGGACUCCUAAGUUCUCAUGUGGGCACUUCCACCACUGACUAAAAUGGACACAUGGAUACCUCAGGGUUUAUUGGAGCACCCAAGUAUGGAUGUAAGGAAAAGAAGACAGACGCUGGCAAUGGACAGCGUACCAGUGAGGGCCCAGCAACAGCAGGCUGCCUCAGCAGACAAGACAGGGGAACUCCAUCAAAUACCCUAUUUUAAAAAGAGGAAGCUAUUCUAGGUAGCAAGAAGUCUGAGAAAUGUCCACAAUACUCAGGCUAAUUCAGGAGAACUGGGUAUCACCACUGCUUUUCUAUUUGCCCCCAUAUCUGCCUACCUUAAGAAAAGAUU